rnacentral:RNase_P_RNA from 1 species
UCGCGCCGCGCGAGCGGCGAGGAAAGUCUGGACUCCGCAGGGCGGGGAAUCCGGCCGAAAGGCCGGAGACGCGGCGGCAAACGCCGCGGACGGAAAGCGCCACAGAAACAAACCGCCGCCUUUCGGGGCGGCAAGGGUGAAAAGGCGGUGCAAGAGACCGCCGCGUGCGAGCGCAAGCGAGCACGGCAAGGCAAGCCCUUCCCGGAGCAAGGUCGAAUAGGGAACAGGACUGCCCGUCCGGAGCGUGCGCCCCGCAGCGCCUCAAGGCGCCGGGAGCGCGCGCCGGGUUCCGGGUCGACCGCUUAGAGGAAUGACCGGAGCGGCGGAAACGCCGUGAACAGAAUCUGGCUUACUCGCCG